rnacentral:lncRNA from 1 species
CUGGGAUUGUCCAGUUAGCAGCACUGGGCAGAAUAGACACCCAGGCUCCUGGGCCUGACACUGGAUGGAGUCUCGGGGAAGUGGAAGCAGGAAGCACGUCACAAAAAUGAGCAAUGUUGUGAUCCCAGUGACCCUAAAAACUGUUAUGGGAAUCCCAGAAAGCCUUGGGAACUCAGGCUGACAAGGGGAAUGGAAAUGUGGAUGUGAAAGAGCGCUGUGCUUAGAAUCUGUGGGCAGAACAGCAGAGUAGAAAGAGCAAACCACGGAUUGGGCAAGUACCACAUCUUUCUAGGAAUUUUUAGUGUUGAAAAAGGUGCAGAGCUUUUCCAAUCCCAAAUGGAACAGAGUUUGUUUGGGCACAGGAUGGAUGAACAAGUGAGAAAGCUGUCACAGAACAAGUCCUUAGUGCAGGUGGCACAGGUCUGAAAGCACAGAUCAAUCUUUGGAACAAACUCAGAGUCCUAAUGAGCAACAUCAUCAGAGGUUCUGGAUCUGCAAGAGGAUGAGAGAAAGCCAUGUUCACCACUGACAACCAUAUGAGAUUUUACCUAAAAACCAGGGAUUUCAAGAAGUAUGAUCAGAAGUGGUGAUGUUGACAAUCUGGCUGGUACCGAAGACCCUUUUUAUAGACAAAUCACAGCAAACUGUACCCAACUGACAUUGAUCCAGCUGCCCCCAAGACUGAUGUAAUCACUGGCGGCAGAACGUGAGAAGGGUCCUAGUGAGAGCAAGCUCUAUGUUCCCAUGCUUUGCAGUUUGAAUCAUUCCUCAGCGCUCUGGUCUCAGCCUAUUCUGGUACUUAUGACGAGGCGGCAAUUUACAUAAAGUGUUG